GUGAGCUAGCGCGCGGGUUACUCGAAAGAGAGGAAACUCCUCCCUCAUUGCAGGCGCUCGAAUUAGCGAUAAUUAGCUGGAGACAGCUGGCACCGGGACAGAAAAGAUAUCCAGCUAUGGGUAGUGAUGAUGGUGAAUAGCCUGAGGCUCAUAGAGCUGGAAUGAAAAUGCCGACCCGAGCGGAGCAAGGCCAAACAGAGCAUAAGGAUCCUGCAUCUGCUCGGGUUGGCCGCUCAGCGGAAUCCCGCAUAAAACAGAAGGAGGGUUACUACUAGCACAC
rnacentral:RNase_P_RNA from 2 species